rnacentral:rRNA from 1 species
GUAGGUGGCAAGCGUUGUCCGGAAUUAUUGGGCGUAAAGCGCGCGCAGGCGGUUCUUUAAGUCUGAUGUGAAAGCCCACGGCUCAACCGUGGAGGGUCAUUGGAAACUGGAGAACUUGAGUACAGAAGAGGAAAGCGGAAUUCCACGUGUAGCGGUGAAAUGCGUAGAGAUGUGGAGGAACACCAGUGGCGAAGGCGGCUUUCUGGUCUGUAACUGACGCUGAGGCGCGAAAGCGUGGGGAGCAAACAGGGAUUAGAUACCCUGGUAGUCCACGCCGUAAACGAUGAGUGCUAAGUGUUAGGGGGGGUUUCCGGUCCCCCCUUAGUGCUGCAGCUAACGCAUUAAGCACUCCGCCUGGGGAGUACGGCCGCAAGGCUG